UGUCAAGGGAUGGGAAUCGAACCCAUGACCUUCCGCUUACUGGGCAGAUGCCAUGACCACUAGGCUACCCUGGAC
rnacentral:tRNA from 1 species